GGGGCCAUAGCUCAGAUGGGAGAGCGCUACAAUGGCAUUGUAGAGGUCGGCGGUUCGAUCCCGCCUGGCUCCA
rnacentral:tRNA from 1 species